AACUUGUGAAAGAGUACUGUUAACACCACACCACCACACCAUAUCAUACCACACCAUACCACACCACAGGACGCCACCACACAUCACACCACCACCAAAUAACACACCACCACACCACGACCACACACCACCACACCACAUCACCAAAAACCACCACCACCACCACAUAAAAUACUAAACCAUACCACACAACACCACACCACAUCACACCACCACACCACGGUAUCCAUGGCGCCCCGACCUGCCCAGCACCGCCAAGCCCUGCCAAGCCACUCCGACCCCCCGCCAAGUCCCGCCGCGGCUAAGAACUCAAUUAGAGAGAUCUGGAGACCUGCUGUGGAAGGCUGAUUAAUACUGGCCCGCCCCCUUCACGUGCCGCCUCCCGCCACGCCAGGCCGCACCACGCCACGCCAGAGGAGACCACGCCAGGCCACACUAGACCACGCCAGGCCACACUAAACCAGACCAAGACCACAGCAGACCACGAUCAAGCUAUAGCAGAUCAGACCACAGCACACUAAGACCACGCAAGGCCACGCUAGACCACUCUUCAGGGAUGAAACUCGAGCUUACGGCGACGCUGCUGGUGGCGGUGCUGGUGGUGCUGGUGGUGUUAAUGUUGCCGGAGCCCUCUACGCAGCUGUUCUUCAGGAGGAGGUUCUCUCCCCGCUCCCCUGCUCGUCCGCGCGCAAAGUACUGGCGGAGACACAGGUUCGGCCCAGGAACACGCUCAUACAGGAGAAGGCACGGCUAAGCAGACACAGAUCUCAUUGAUGUUUUGAAUGAAGCCACAAAAAUGAGAUGGAACGAGGCGAGGGUAAGCCAGGGAGGAGCAGCAACAUGGCGGAGAUGGAGUUUCGUCCACUAAUGAAGUCACCAAACGAUUCAACCCCUUCAGUGCUACCAUAGAUAAUCACUCUUUUAAUCACCUGUAGCUUCUUUCGAUACUUAUUGCUUAUUACAUAGCUUGGGAAAGGAAAUGAACAAUCUAUUGUCUGUAUCUUUUCUUUUUUUUGUGUGUGUGUGACAACGUGACAAAGUUAACAAACGGUGAUGCUAGCAGUAGAAAGGUAAAUUAUUAUGAGAUAGUACUGCAAUAUAACUCAUCUCUUUGUAUACCUCAGGCUCCAGUCUUAUCAAAUACAUUCCAAACACUAUCUGAUUGUUAUAUCUAGUUUAUAUGUGUGUUUCAUUGUUGUUUACUAAUUUGAAAAAAAAAAAUAUAGUGCUUGACUGUACUGCAAAAUAAGGUUGAGAGAAAAUAGAUAAACUGAUUAAUGACUUAAUAGAUAAAUGUAUUAUUGAAUAAAGGAAUUAGUUUGACAAA